AUCUAACUAAUUCAGUGCAGCUGCGUUCAAUGUACUUUUUCACUCUUCGUUGCUAUUAGAACAUAUUUGUUCACAGCAUCCAUCCAUGUUAUUGUAGGUUUUUGACUAUUCCUUCAUUCUUAUUGGCAAAAAUGUCGAUCAUACUCUUUAUGGUGGCCUUUGCAAUCUUUGUUCGAUAUCCUUUCACCAUAUCAUAUAGUCUUCUUCCACAUUAUCCUUUUUUCUUUUUCUUUUUUUUUUGCAACUUCUGUACAUUUCUCAAUAUUAUUGAUUUUUAUUGCUGUGACAAUAGUCUCAUGUGCUUCUAACAUUGAUAUCGCUUAGUGGUGUUUUUGUAAACACUUUGGUCAAAGUGCCAUCAUACGGAAUCUUUAUUUAGUCUAAGGCAUACUUUGUUCUGAUAACACCUCUGAAGCACUUUGCUUAACUAACCUCUAUCUUAACGCUGUCAAAAAUAAUUUAUCUUUCUGUUCACUAUAAAUAGAAGUGAGUGCAACCGGCUGUCUUGCCUGUCAACUUUAAAUGGUGCCAAAUUUGCAUUUCUUAAACUUCUUUUCUCAAAGAAAAAGGAGAAAAAAAUCAAACAUUCAUGGUUACAUUCCAGCUAUAUAAAGAAGAGGGGUCAGAACAUCUUGUUACUUUGAGAUACGUAACCUUCUAAUAACUAAUCAAAGAGCAUCAUGUAUAAAUCUAUGCAAAGAAUAAUCGAAGUCUUUGCUAUGUUUACUUGAGUCUUCUUUGUUAAUUUUGGAUUCUUCGGUUAUUUACCUAUAGGUAGCAUGUGUACAAGGAGUUCUCUAAUAAUGAACUGAAAGAUCUAUACUUUCAUGAUUGGCUUGCUGAUUAUUUGGGUCAUUUCUUCCUUAGAACUCAGUAUUCCAUAUUCAUUUACACUACCAGUUAGGCUUUAUAUUUUAAAUUAUUCACAUAAUUAUUAGUGUGCCUUUUCAUGAUUAUAUCUACAAGCUUUGCAUCUUGGACAGGAAAGUUUUUAUCAAACAUGUUUGAUUAUGUUGAACACAGAUAUCUUUUUUGAACAACUAGCUGCUAUAAUCAGUAUAUUUUUAUUGCUUAAUUACAAAUCCUUGGGCAUACACGUAUUCUCUUAUUUGCUACUUGUUGGCUCUCCUUAGGAAUAUAAGUGUUCCCUUCCCUGUUUUGCUACUUGUUGGCUAGUUAGAUGAAAUAAUAUCAUCAACUAUCAUUUUUUUUUCCCUGCAGACAAAAGGAAAAUUGAACAGUGACAAAGCAAAAAUUUCCAAAUAUCUGAAUGCAACUUUUGCAGAUUUACCAGCUCCUCAAUUAGAGUGGGAGGAGAUGGCAGAGGCACCUGUACCUCGUCUAGAUGGUGCUGCCAUACAGAUUGAGAAUCUUUUAUAUGUGUUUGCUGGAUACGGUACCAUUGACUAUGUAAGGGACCUUGAUGAAAUUAAGAAUUAUUAUUUUUAUUCCUUCUAGUAGAUUCAGAUCUUCAUUUGUCCUUGACUUCUUGUUCAUAUUUUUUUUUAUUCGCAUUUCACAAACAAUAUGGUUCUUGAUCUUCAUUUGACCUUAAUUGGAGUAUCAAUGUAAUUGGUCAGUUUUGUUAGUGAGGUUUGGUCCUUGGGAGGAACAUAUGAUGAAUAUCAAGUGAGCCACCCACAUAUUUCACCCCAAUUAGAUAAAAAAAAUGUUGGUAAUAGUUGUUUGGUUUUCUAACGAACAAGUGUCAUAUUUUUACCAUUUUUGUGUCCAACUGUAGGAUUGAUACUUGUCAUCAUGAUUCUUCAUGAUCUUAUUUGCUUUGUUCUGGGCCUUUUCUUCAUGUUCUAGGUGCAUUCUCAUGUGGAUAUUUAUAAUUUCUCUGACAAUACAUGGGGCGGAAGGUUUGAUAUGCCAAAAGAAAUGGCAAAUUCACAUUUAGGAAUGGCAACAGAUGGAAGAUACAUUUAUGCUGUCACUGGACAAUUUGGCCCACAAUGCAGAGGUCCUACAAAUCGGAAUUUUGUGCUGGAUACAGAGACAAAAGUAUGGCAUGAAUUGCCUCCCUUACCUGUCCCUAGGUAUGUAUAAUUUAACUUAUAUUUAUUCUUUCAUUUAUUGUCUCAUUUUCUUCUUGACCCUAAUGUAAGCAAGUUUUUCCCCACAAAUUCCCGCUCAAUUUCUUUAGACCUUCUUCUAUUCUGCAUCCUCCACACAAAUUCCAUGUUUAUGAUUUUUCUUUCCCAUUCCAAGACUGAAUAAUGCAAUGAUUUUCAGGUAUGCCCCAGCAACACAACUUUGGAGGGGCAGACUCCAUGUUAUGGGUGGCAGCAAGGAGGACCGCCAUGAGCCUGGUUUGGAGCACUGGAGCCUUGCAGUAAAGGAUGGAAAAGCAUUGGAGAAAGAAUGGCAAAAUGAGAUUUCAAUACCACGUGGUGGACCUCACAGGUUUGUGUCCCUUUGUUAUCUAAUAGUAUAAAAUUAUUCUAUGAGAAUUAUAAUAUAAAAUGAUUCUUGUCAUGGCCCUCUAGUUUUCCUUCACAUAAUUGCUUGGUAAUUGGCCUCAAAAUAUAAUACAUUUUUAAGAGGUGGCAACAUGUUGUUUCCAUUUAUCUUACUGUAAUUUUUGCUUUGUAAUGUCAUGUUCUUUGUACUUGUUUAAUUGUUUGAAAUAUUAAGUCCAACUAAUAUGUUUUUUGAUAAAUACUAAUACUAUAUUUUUUCAUUUUAUAAUUGAUAAAUGAAUAUGUUGAUUAAUAUUUCUUGUGGAAAGUAAUGAAUGUGCAGUCUCAGUGUUGGCUACUCUUUCCUCAAGUUUUUAAUGUUUGUUGAUGCUUGUCAAGGAAGGAGGUGGUGAAGUCUCACCUUUAAUGUUGUCUACUUGUCUUACAACUUAGAUUUGGUGAAAGUAUAUAACCUUUUAUGAUUAAGAAAACUAUCAGCUGACAAAUUUGUUCAAAGUAUUGGCAUCCACUUAUUAUUGUUAUUAUUUUAAAAUGAUUAUGUUUAUUGUUCUAAUGUUGCAUGCAAAAGUAAUUUGGCCUUGCUUGCUGCUUCAGUAUAGUUUGAUCGUCCAUUCAAGCAUUUGCCUAUACUACUAUGGAGAAGGCAGCUUUCUCUUUUUUGUAAUCUUAAAAUCAUGGGAUUUUUAUCAAUAGAGAUUGGUUGCAAUUCUUUGUAUUUUCAUGUCAUUUUCAGUCAAGUUUACUUCUAAAUCAGCAGAAAGUUGUACAAUAAUUUGGACCCGUUAAAAGUGGUAUAACUAGAAUUAUCCAUAAUUUUUUCUUUUUCCUUUUUCUUUUCUUUAUAAACUUAUUUUUAUCUGCGUUCUCAUGGGCACUUGUAGCCUUUUUUUUUUUUUUUGGUGAUGCAUUCUUUCUGGAUUUCUGGUAUCUUGAUCGCUCUAAUAAAAAUGGUUUGGUGGUCGUUAGACUUUCUUCAAAGGUUCAAUUUGUACAAAAGAGAAUGUUAGGAUUGUUGAAACUUAGACAUGAGCAGCUCAACUUAAUCUCAUUUUGCUUAAUCAACUCAAUUCCAGUCUUGAACUCAGCUUUGAAUCCAAAACUUUGACCUUCUGCUGGCUUUUAAAGGAAAGGUAUUGGGCCGAGAUCUACGAUGGAUUGAAGGGAGAUAUAUCAUGUAGCAAGAUAAAGCAGUAAACUGCUGUUCUACUGGAAGAUGCAUUUGAUCUAAUGGAAAACCUAUUAAAUCAUUACAGAUCUAAUUUUUGAAGACACUAAUUAGAGAUUGAUAGUUGAAGAGUUGAUGGUUGAUUAUCUGCAUAUGAGGCAUGCAAAUGAUAAUUUAUUUGUAUGACCUUACUGUUCAGGAAGCUAAAGGAUAAAAAAAAGCAUGAUCAUAUCUCACUUGCCUACUAAUUUUUUCAUCAACAAUGUGAUAUAUAUAUCCAUCAUCUUGAUUCAUUAAAGGAUUAUCUGGUUAACAAUAAGAUAGCCUCUGAAGCCACAGUGUUCUGGACAUGUCAUGAGACAAACUAUAGGAUCGUACAGCAGGAAUAAAGAUCAGUGGAUGCAGAGAUAAUUGUGACAAAAGCUACUUGAUGUGAUUAAUAAUAAGAUGGAGCAUAGAAUUACUUUAUCUUUUUAAAUUUAAAGUUUAGUGUUCCUUUUACAAUUGCUACGUUUUUUACAUCUUUAUUAUUUAUGGUUGCAAGGAUUUAAGUUCCAGUGGGACAGCAGGGUGUCCCAUUGUCCUGAGUGUCUGAGCGAGGCACCAUCUUGAGUGCCAGGAUGGCAUGGGUAGCAUGGAGAUUAGGAUGGGAAGGCACAUCCAUUAUGUCGGGACUUGGCAUUGUCUCGUUCAACAGAAUAACUGGGAUGGCCUUGUUCCACACACAUUGAAUCCUUGAUGGACUGUUUAUGUAUUAUUACUUGGCUGAGGUUUGGUUCUUAUGGAUUGGUGGUUUGGUAGUUGGAAAGCCUGUGAAUCGGUGGAACUAGGAUCAGAGGUUUGCUUUUUGGAGAUGGGGUGCAACAUAAUGCAAUAUACAAAUAAAAGUUCACCUGAUUGCUUGAUAUGGAAUAGAGGGUGCGUGAUUAUACAAACUUGGAUCUUUGAUAUGAAGAAGUGGGGGCACAAUUAGUGUAUAAGGGUGAAAGUCUUGAAGAAGGGACUGGCCAGGUAAGAUACGGUAUGGAUUCCUCCAUAUCUUUUCCCCUGGGGGCUGGGCCUGGGGGGUUCCAUACCUCAGUGCUGGGGGGGGUUCCAUAGUUAAGUCAAAUCUGGGGUAGCAUGUCUCAAUGUACUUCUAUGGCCACUAGUUCAUGGACAAAUAUAUUUACUAGUUUCCAUAUAUAAAUUGAAAAUUAAUUUUUUUGCUAGGCUGAGCUGGGACUGGCAAAGUCUCAUUCUUUUUCCUUCUAUGCAUGAUGUGCCAUCAUUUUGCCAAUAAAAUGACUUUUAGAAUCGAGGGUAGCAUUUGCUUUGUUAUGAAUUCAACAAAUCUUUUAACUUAUAUAAUAUGUUUCUAUUCGUUGUUUAAUGCCAAGUCUUGUGUCUAAACUCAUAUAUAACUAGGUUAAGGAGACCUGCAUAUGUUUAUUCAUCUAUGCAAUUCAAGAUUUUUACUUGGAUGCAAUAUUGACCUAGAGAUGAUUAUUCAAGCACAAGCACUGAAACAACCAAUGUUUCUCUUGGCACUAAAUGAAUGAUUAAAUUGCCCUCUUGUCUUUUGUCCUAAGUGGACAAAAUGGUGAUUUUUGGUAAUAUUACUAGUACAUGCAAAUUAAAUUAUGUCCUCUACUUAUCUUGUAAGUUGGACUAUAAGCUGUGUGUUAUGCUAGAUUUAAGAAAUCACACAAUUCUUAUUUUAAUGAUUUAACACUUAGACUUUAAUUAUCUUCCAACAUAUACAAUAUCUAAUUCUAUCUCCUACAGCACGAUGAAAUCUUUGAUAUUAUGCAUAGAUUGUUAACUGAAUGCAUGGAUGAGCCCACAAAGAAGAAAGAUCUUGCACACAAUUUGUUUGAUUCCCUCUUUAUUCCUGCCAACUUCUGACACCCAUGAUUGUGUAGGUAAAUAGGUCGUUGCACUCUAUUUGUUUAACCUAUUAUAUCAUGCCACCUUUACUAUUUAUAAUAGAAUGUAUAACUAUGAGAUUGUGUAUAAGAGCCACUAAAGAACCAUCAGUGGAAGGAAACAUAUUUUCUCAUAUUUCUUCUUUUGGUGCACAUCUAAUAUUGUUUUGUUCCUCACUCAAAGUAUAUUUUGCUCCCAGGGCAUGUGUUGUUGCUAAUGAUAAGCUAUAUGUUAUUGGUGGUCAAGAGGGUGAUUUUAUGGCUAAACCAGGAUCGCCAAUUUUUAAAUGUUCUCGAAGACACGAGGUAUGCAUUUUUACUAUUUUUGUUCUCAAAUGCAGUCAUUUUGCUAAUUGAAUGAAUUUUUUUUCAUACUGAUUUAUCUGGAAUCUAUCACAAAUUCUUUUUCGCUUCACCAUUAAAUAGAAUAAUUUGGAGCUUAUUCCUUUUUGUGCCAUGAUUAUCUAUUAUGAACCUUAUGCAUCUAUUAUUUCUUUCUCUCCAUUAUAUUCUGUAUUGGAUUGCCAAGUUCUGCUGUCAUGUAAUUAUAAGUUUUGGAUAUAGUAAUAUUUAUAGAGAAUUCAAUAACAUAGCCCAAUGCAAAAAAGAUAACUUACAAUAGUUUUAAUAGUUUGGUGUCUGAAAGUAUUUAGGAUUUCUCAUCAAAAUUACUGUAAUUAAUGAAGAUUGUGACUGUAGUACUUUUAGAAGUUAUGGUGUUCAAACAUUGCGUUUGGUUCAGUUUAAGGAAUGAACUAUCAAUUAUCAUGCUACUAUCAUUUGAUAGAAAAGUAGCUUUUUUUUUUUUUGGUGAAUGGCAACUGGAUAGAGUUUAGAUUGGGUAGGCCCUCCUUAUCCACCAAUAAAUGCAUGAACCAUACCUGUGCCUUAGUGGCUGGUUUUGUUCUUUGCAUAAUUGCCACUUUUCAAUCUGGUAGGCUAUGUUCAAUUCACAUGGCCUGGUCUAGUGUUUCUAUAGUUUAUCAAACAUUACAACCAUGGCCUUUCAAGAAAAGUCUAGGUGAUUUAGGUGCAUCUAAACUAAUGGACCUUACCUGACCAUCCCUCCCCCACGACCCCCACAAAAUGAGACUAAAAUAUAUCCUUGUUGAAGUUCAACCUUCUAAUGUCUCUUUUCCUUGUUAAGAUAUUGUUGCUCGAUCAAAGUAAUGCCUCUUCAACUUGGACAGUGAAAUUAAAGAGGAAAUCAUUUAAAACAUUAGGUCAAUAAUUUGCCAUUUUUUAUUGCCUCAAAUACAUUGCCUUUUUUCUCGGCAUGGAAAAGGGGAUCACUUCCUAGAUGGAGAAGUGAAAUGGAUCAGGAAAACCCUUAGUUUUAUUUCUACCAUGAAAUAAAACUGCUUCUGGUAAUUUUUGUAUGUUUGUGUUCAUAAUGAAAGAGAUUUGAACAAGGAACUAUUAAAAUAUAUGCCAUCUUGGGUUUGCGUUGAUGGGCCACAUCAAAUAUGUGGGCAUAUUUAGUUGCAAUUAGAUCGAACCUGUAAAAGCUGGAAGAGUCAUCUUAGGAGCCCAUUCGCAGUACACCCAAAUUUAAUUGUGUUUGUCCACUUAGUAGCUACAUGGGCACAUUUUUAUGCCAUAUGGAUAUGGCUUAUUUCCUCAUGACUUACUAUCACAUGUUGGAUAACUAAUUCAAAUUUAUGAUCUCUCACAUGUGCUACUUGGCCAACAGCCCACCACAUUCUUGACCAACAGACAUGGAUUAUGAUCUCAUUAUUCACUUAAAAAUUUCAUUUUAUUACUAUUUGGCAUUAUGAGUCUCCAACUUAUUGGAAUGCUUUGGCUCGCAAGGUCUACGGAAUCGAUAUCGGGACCCAUACUGGUGGGUGGACGGGAUGGUAUGGUAUUGAGUCCAUAUCGUGCCAUUCUGGUUUGUUUCAUUUUUUUUUGUUUUCAAAUUUUGAAUUGAAGUCAGCAUGUGGUUUGCCAACUUCGAUUCAAAAUUUGAAAAUAGCAAAAAAUCGGGGAUUGCUUCGUUCCCCUUCUCAAAGGGAGGGAGAGGGAGAAAAGGAGAGAGAGAGGAGGGGCGAGGGCCGCCUUGGCAAACUCUAACCUAAUGCUAACCUAAACCACAUGUGAGAGGGAGGGAGGGACCUACUGUCGUCAGCGGGAAGGUAGACCAUCUGGUGGAGGGGGGUGGCGCUUACGGGGGAGGGGAGGGGGUGCUUCUGCUCUCUCGAUUUUUUUGAGCUGGGGGGGGCUCUCUCACACUCUCAAUGUUUCUAAGUGAGGGGAGCGAAUUGAAUAUAGAGCUUGAGUCAUGCCAGUCUCUAUUUGGUCCAGUUUGGUAUGCCCUGAACAGCUGGUUCAAUAUGGUUCGGCAUUCCUUGCUUGGUUUCGUAGUUAUCAAUUUUAUCAUCUAUCAAUUACACCCCAUCUGCCAAUGUUUGGCCAGCAUGUCUGGGCAUUACUUUUCCUUAGGUAUGAUAAGGAGCUUUUUGGAAAUCUGUAGUUGAAAUUGCACCACAAUUCAAGUUGCAUUGCAACUUAAGUUGUGGCAGUCGGCUUACAAGAAAGCCAUUUUUUAUGUUUGGAGGUGAGAUUGGGCAGAGAGUGGUGUCUCUAACAGACAUUCCAUUAAACACCUCACUAGCAGAUGCUUGAUCAAAGCUCUCGACGCACAUGCAAAUAGUAGGUGUUUUGGAUGAAGAGUCGGCAUUGAAGCUGUUGAUGGUGAGGACCUGGGCAUGGAGUUGGGUGCCUAUGGGGACGGAGUGGGUGGUGGUGUAGGCCUCAAGGAGGUCAAGUUGGGUGAAGGAACGGUGGAGGGGGUGGUUGGUGACAAAGGAGGAAGAGGUGCAGUGGAGGAGGGUGGUGCGGUAAAGUCCAAGGCAAAGGUGGUGGCCAUGGGCCUUCUACGGGUGAUGGGGCAGUGAGGAGGGACUCAAGAGCAAAGCAGGAGAGGAGAGGAGAAGGGAAGGUGGGGGAGGAGAGUUCUAUUGCGGUGAAGUCCGAGGUGGCUGUGGCCAUGGGCCUCCUCGAGGUGACGACAUUGAGGGUGGCAACAGGGAGGGGUUUGAGAACAGGGCUGGGGAAGAGAGAAGUGGAGGAGGAGAGAUUUUUUUUUUUCUGAAAAAAAUGAAGAUCUUUCUUGGGCAGCUGCAACUCAUCCCUUCAUCAUCUUGACUGCGAGUCAACCUACCAUAAGAUAGCUCGAAGCUGCAGCCCAACGAGCAAAUCACUUUAUUGUGUAAUUGGAGUUACAGGCAUCCAGGUGGGGGCUGGCCUCCAUCUGCAACUUGAGCUACAUGCACCACCACUUAUGGGACUCUAAAAAGUCCCUAAACACAAGCUGACAAAAUGGCUUUAGAGCGUCAUGGAAGCUUUUAUGCAUGUAUCCACAAGAGAGCAUUAAAUAUUGAACCCUUAAAGCACUCCUUGGUCUGAUUGACCUCCAACUUGGUUAAUCACCAUGGUUUUCAUGAUUAUCAUCUAUGUUAUUUGUCAAACACACCCCAUUUGCCCACAUACAGUGUCAUGUCUGGGUGUCACUUUUCCUCAAGUGAUACCAAACGAGGCACAUAAGAUGGAUUUAGAGCUUCAUACAAGUUUCUUUGCAUGUGUCCACAAGAUAGCAUUGUCCAUUCCAACCUUCAUAGCACUCCUAUAUGCGUAUUUGCAUGCAUAGAGAAUGAUAUUGUAAGUCUGUUUUCUGGCUCUUGGGUUUCAUAUUGACUAUGAUUUUGUAUGUGAAUGGAAUGUCAAAUUCUCUUUCCCUUUUUACAUUUUGAGUUUGCAUGUCAUUCUUGUUUUGAAUUCUCAGAUUUCAUUUUUCACAUUUGCAAUUUUAUCUCUGUACAGGUUGUGUACGGUGAUGUUUACAUGCUAGAUGAUGGAAUACAAUGGAAGCAAUUGACUCCAAUGCCUAAACCAGAUUCCCAUAUAGAAUUUGCAUGGGUUAUACUUAACAAUUCCAUUAUUAUCGUUGGAGGCACGACAGAGAAACACCCUAUAACCAAAAAGAUGGUGUUAGUUGGCGAAGUCUUCCAAUUUCAUUUAGAUACCUUGGUAUAAACCAUUUUAUCUAUAUCUACUUGCCAUAGCAUAAUCAUUUGCUAUUAAUUAAUUAAUUGAUUUUUUUUUUAAUAUCUGUGUUGCUUUAAUAUUAGUGUUUAAAGAGUAGACUAGACAAGAUGGUCGUACCUGUUACAACCAAAUCCAGGAAAAAUCCUGGUAUAGCGAAAUGUGAUUGCCAUUGAAACAAUCUGAACUUAUUGGCUGAGCUAUCAAACAAUGUAUAAAACAAGAAAACAACUGGUAGAAUUGGAAUGAUUUUGUGACAUGCUAGCCAUUUUUAUUAAUAAAUAGUUAAAUAAAUUUAUUGUGUUAAAGAUCUGGGAUAUAAAUCUAGUUCUCCUUCAUAAAGAAAAUAAAUUUAACCACUAUGCUACUUGAAACAAGUUUAAGAAAAUGCAGAGCUGUUCUCAUGAUUAUAUCUGGUUAAACCAUCCAAACUGGCUGGCCAAGCUGGUUUUGAUUGGAAAGCACCCUUUCAAUGAUUUCUGGUCUGGUUUGCCAAUAUUGCUUCAUUAUCCCUAGUCAGUUUUGUUUUGGAUCUACAAGUUUCAUUCUAUUGGUUUUGUGCAUAAGCUUUAGUAGAAUUGUGAGUGCAAUCAAAAGGCUCGAAUACUAGAAGACCGGCUAAAAAUGGUGAAUGGACUUUUUCAAAGGCACUUCGAUUACAUAUGAAUUGCCUCAAAUUUUUUAUUUGUUCUUUUGUGUUGUAUGCAGUGCAUGUGAGAGGUAGUAUGGAUGGCUGUGAUAUCCCAGUAUUAUUUUUUUUAAUUAUCCAUUUAAGUUGGUAAUUACACUUCCAGUUUUGGGAGGUGCAGUUCUCUUGUUUCUCUCGCUCAAAAUAAGAAUUGGGCUAAGUGGUGGUAUGGUUAUAAAAUAUGGAAGUGGUUAUAGUUAUAUAUAAUGCAGAGACAUGUUGAUGGAGUGGCAAUCAAUAGUUUGGCUUUAAUACUGCACUGGAUAAUGAAGAAUAAUUACAUUUAGUUAUUCUCUACAAAUCCACUGGUGUUCAUUAUAAGGAACCAGAGACUGAAUUUUCUAUCUAGCAAUGAGCCUCUUAGAGGAACCUAUUGCUAAAUAGGACUCAAAGUUGGUGUAAUUAGGUCCCAUUGUAAUAGUAGGUGUUAAUGGGGUUACUUGAUAACAAUCGGAAACCGGUUUCUUAGAACUGAAGUUUAAAGCAUUAAACAAUAACCUAUACACAUGAAGUACUCAUUUCUAGCACUGUUCUUAGUACUCCUUGGCCUCAAGUUUCCUGAACCUGUUUGUUGCCUUGAUUGCUAAGGUUAUCCUGUGUACAGGUUCAAGAUGCUGGAUUGAAUGUGAUAUGUCAAAAAAUUUGAGAACUUUUAUGGUCAACUUUCAACCAGAUGUUGGCACCAGAUAAAUUUUUUUAGUAAGGAAUGGUCAUAUUUUUAGCUCGUUCUCACCUUCAUUUUGUUGUUUGGUUUUAGAAGCUCCGACCCCAACAACAAGGAACCGUAAUUUGGUUAAUAACCUCUUGUCCUGUAUCCUGCAGCAUGAUGGCAAUUCUGCUGAUUAGCUUGUUUAAUUUCUUUGAGCUUAUUACAGUGUUCUCUUUGAGCUUACAGUAAUUGCCAGUUGUUCUAUUCAAAAUGACAAUUUCUAAUGUCUGAAAAAAAUCCAUUUAUUGUAAAUAGUUCUGACACUAGUAAUUGUGAUUAUCACUUUUCUUCCAAUCGACUUAUUUGCUGCUCCUUUAUAUGUACAGACUUGGUCGGUGAUUGGGCGGAUGCCUUUCCGCAUCAAGACCACCUUGGUUGGUUUCUGGGAUGGAUGGCUAUAUUUCACAUCUGGACAGCGCGAUAGGGGACCAGAUGAUCCAUCUCCAAAGAAGGUUGUUGGAUGCAUGUGGAGAACUAAACUAAGAUUAUAAUCUAUUCAUUAAUUGAGAUCCAAAAUCAAGUUCCUGCGAGCUGUACUUAGUUUUCUAUCUGUAGCUUGUUAAUUGUUUCAGGGGUUCAUCUUUUUGUCCCUGUAUAAAUUUAUAAGUCAACCACUAGUAUUUCCCAAAUUUUACAUGUAACAUAUGUAACUCAGCGAUCUUAUUUAGUUCUUGUCAACAUUACUGCUUCUUGGGAUGAGGUGCAAGACAUGCCAUUGUUCAUAACUACCUACAUUUCAGAAAUUUGAUUUGUUAAGAUAUUUUCUGUUGAUCUAUGUGGGCGGACUUAUCUUUGAACACAUGCAAUUGAAAAAAAAAGUACAAAAAUUGUCACCAGGGAGAGUAGUUAGCGGUAGUACAACUUCAUGACAAGUGAAUAUCAGCACCUUAAGAUGCCAGCUUCGCCUGGUGAUGAAAAUCUCUUUUCUUGUUGUACCUGGCAUCCAGGUUUUGAAUUCGAUUCCCUCAUCAGGAUGGUAGAGGUUUAUGGGUAACGAGCAGGGCUAUAUUUUUNNNNNNNNNNNNNNNNNNNNUUUUUAAUAUACCAAAAAAAGGAGAACUAUUUUCUUUAUCCUAUAUUCAUUCAAAAACUGAUAAAAUAGCACCCAGUUCAGUUUUGUGGAUUAGCUACCUAGCCUCAAUCAAGGUUUUCGUCCAUUUACAAUUGCUUUGUAAUGAUAAAUAGAUUUUUCUCAGUCCUUGUUUUUUCUGGGUCCCAGCUCUGAGGUGUCACUGAGAUGAAACAGCUUGCGAGCUACGAGCGAGUUUGGUCAGGUUGAGUGCCAGCUUGACCCAAAUCCGAUGAAAUCUAGCUUUCCACUGGGCUGGAUUUUGGUUUCUUUCUGUGGCUGUGCUGGCUGUAUUCAUACUCAUCCCUCUUGGAGUGCAGGUCUUGAUUUGUGACCCCAUUUUCUAACCUAUAAAGAUGAAUUUAGUAGUGGGACCGACCUGUGUUAUGGACUCAUAGCCUCAAAGCUUCGAGAGGACUGAUCCAAAUUAAUAAAUUCAUGUGAUACAUUUUUUAUUAGUCAAUAUGGGAUUAUGGUGAUUUUUCUUAUAUGAUCUUAUGGUACUUUUAUUACAGUUGGCUCCUACUUAAGAGAGGGAGACUCACAUAUGGCUUGAGUUCUGCUCAUCUUGAUAUCGUCCAAUGAGGGGUCUAUAUGACUGAUAAAGAUUUUGAUGUGCAACAAGUCUAGCUUUUCUAUAAUUUAUUAUAGAUCCACAGUCCAAAAAUUUAAGCUGUUGGGAGGAGGAUUGGUUGAGACUGAUGAACCUAUGUAGUACUUAGUUUUAUUAGAUAAUUUAGGGCUAUGACACCUGCUAGCUUUAUUGCCCCCAUCAUUACCAUCUCUUCGUUUUUUGCCCUUUUUUUCUUUUUCUCCUUUUUCAUCAUCAUGAGCAUAAUAUAAGCUCUUUCUGCUUAUCUCCAUUAAAUUGUCACAGACCCAAGUUUUAUGCACGUUACUUGAAUGCCACCUACGCAAAGAAUUAAUAGAGCAACCUUCAUGGUUAAAUAAUCGCCAGUUGCGACCCUGCACCACUUCCGCACCCAAAUUUUUGGUUUUUGGACUACGUCAGCCGGAAACGAUUCCGCCGCUUCUCCCGCCAAUUAAUCAACCACAAAACAAACGAAAAUAAAAAACGUAGCUUCCUAUUCCUAAUCCAAAUUCAGAUCCCAAAUACCCUGGAAAAAAAAAAUCCUAUUCCAUCAAGAGCCGAAAUAAGAAAAAAAAGCCAUUUUAAAUUCCAUACACUGCUCUGAAUCUGCUAAUCUCAUAGUUAUGGCCACUCCUCUCAUUCUAGAUAUCGAUGAUUUCAAGGUAAUUCGAUCCGCAUUUCCUUACUUGCUUCGAUUUAAUGUGAAAUGGAUAGAUUUUGGAUUUGUUUUUCUUCAUAUCUGAUUCGUUUUUAUGCAGGGGGAUUUCUCUUUCGAUGCGUUGUUUGGGAAUUUGUUGAAGGAGCACUUCCCUUCCUUCCAAAAGGAGGAUGGGGAUUCGCCGGAGGGUACGUUGGAUGCUGCAAAAUGGGGGCCAGGGCAUCACCCUCCGCUGUUCCCAAUGGUUGAUAAGCUGCUUGGUCUAUUUAAGGAUUCAUGUAAGAAGUUGAUCGAUCUCCGACGGCUGGUUCAUGUUUCGGGAUUUGCUGGUGAUGGCUGGUUGGUAUCAUUUGAUUUUGUAUGUGGAGUGAUGUUGUCUAUUUGUUUUGUGAAUUAAAGAUUGAUGGGAGGCUAAAGCAUCUGGGGAAGGAGGUUGCUGUCCAAGAUGCCAAACAUCGAAAGACCCUUGCAGAUGUUAGUACAGUUAGAUUCUCUAAAGAUUCAGUGUGCAAUAAGAUCUGUUGCUUAAUUGCUGAUCUUAGUUGGUUUCUUUGUUUCUGACUUUCUCAAUGUUAGUGUAAAAGAAUAUCAUCAUCAUUAUCGUCAUCAUCAUUAGUAUUAUUAUUAAUUUUUUCGGCUUCAUGGAAGCAAAGUUACAAGGACUUGGGGCUUAAGAAGAAAUUGAUGAGGGUUUUAAGAGUGAUGAGGUAAAUGAGAGAAUGGGUCUCAAAGUGAAACUGAAAUUGGAUAAGCAUAAGAUUUUUUUUUUUUUUGAGUGUACAUUAUAGAGUACCAUGGACAAAAAGUGAAAUUCUAAUACCGAAUUCUUUAGAAAGUUAGCAGAAAGGAGUUAAAGAAGUAAAAAAUUUUAUCAGCUUGUUAAUUACCAAUGAAGUGGACAGUCAUCACUUUCUAAGAAGGCUACAUUCCACGUCACUUGAAGGCCCUGAUGAACUUAUGAAGAUAUAUAGGGAGACGUUCACUAUUCCAUUAUGGAGCCAUGAUUAAAAUUUGUUUUGUCAUUUUUGAGAUAGAAAUGUGAAGGCAUGAAGGCUACGAAUUCCUUUUUUCUAGAAAAAGAGAAUGUGUUAGAUGAAAAUCAUGGAAAUAUUCUUCUUGUGGAUUUGUUUGCAUGUGCAUGUUUUUGUAUGUCCAUCUCCAUCCAAACCACCAUCCAUUUAUAUAUUAGAGGGUCAUGAGAGCAUUACCAACACAUGAGCACCUUAGGACACAGUUUCGAGAAACUUCAAUCUUAUCUGCCAUUGGUUUGUCCUCCAUAAGAUAGUGACAAAAGCCUAAGACUUUGUAGAUUUGCCAGGAAGAUCAUUAAAUUAAAGUAUCACCCUUCUUCUAAAUUUGCAGCAUGGCAGAUGGUCUGUUAUUUGCUUACAAAGUGCACCACUCAGAAGAUGAAGGUAAAAAAUAGACUGGGCUGUUUGGUAUAAUAUAACCUAUCAUGAAAACUCCUUGAACAUGGUGAUCAGGAAGUUAUUGUUAUAGAUCUUUGAGAUUUGGGAUUUUCUACUAAUUUAGCUUAUCAAAUUGCAGUAGUAUUUUAACUACAAAUUUCUCAAAAAUGUCAAUGGUAUCUUUGCCUUUUUUCCACCCCGCUGCAAGAGGGGGAAAAGGAUCCCAAGGGCAUGUUUGCUUGUUAAAAUGGUGCUGGAUUGGAGGAUCAACUCCUACCCUUGUACUUUGUCAUUGUCUCAAAAAUUUCAUGUAAGAUGUGCAGCAAAAUAAAUUACUGUGGUAAUUUAAAGGCUGGCCAUAAAUCAAGCAAAAUUUAUUAAUCACCCCAAAAGUAACAAACAAAAUCGAGUUUAAAUCUUGUAAAAAGCAUAUGUGACAUUUAUGCUGUCAAACAUUUGCUUUUAGUUGAUCAGCACCAGAAUUUUGGAUCAAUUACAAUAAGAGGCCCUUUACUAGAAGUAAUUUAAGGGAUGCUUGGGUCAAUAAUCCAAUAGCAACUUAGAUUUAGGGUUGAAACCCUAUACUUGAAUACGCGUAGAUCUUCUAUUUCUUUUUCAUUGGUAAAUUUUUGAAAAGGCUUAUAACUUGAACAUGCAGAGGUCUAAGUAUGGGAGCUAGAUAAUUUAUCUUAGAAGCUUCUCUCCAAUUUACAUGUUUAUUUGUGGGUUUCACUCAAUAAGUGGUGAGAAAAAAAUGAUAUAAAUCAAGGCGUGUAUGUUUGGUUUGAUUAAGCAUGCAUCUUGUGAAAAGAUGUUGAAAAUAUGGACACUCAGAAGAAGCACUGGGGUAUUACUUCAAAUGUAUGCAAAAUUAAUACCAUGUUUGGAAAGAUAUCUUAAAGUGAGGACAAGUUUCAUCUGAGUAAAUUUCCUUUAAAUAGGUACUUGUGGUGUGAUUGGUUGAGGAACCUUACAGUAGGGAAUUUUUGAAACGCUAUAGAAUGCUCAUUUUAUUGGCAAUUUUCUAUUAUUAACUGGGCCUAAAAAUUAGAGACUUAGGAACACCAAAAAUAGUUUAUAUGUACAUUUCAGAGAACAUUGGAAAAUGUAGAAAUGUAUAUAGAAAUUCUAACAAUGACAAAUAAGUUCUUUGAGAAGAGAGGAGAACUUUUUGUGGGAAAUCAAAGAUAAACUAUUUUCUCUUUAGAAGAAAAGAUAGAAGGAUUUGCUAGGGUUGCGAAGUCAUUCUUGACUAAAGCUUGAAAACACAACAUAGGUUAGAAGAGAGAAGUAGAGACCAAGAAGCCCUUGGUGGAAUUCUAAGGCAAACUUAAGAAAUCCUUUAGACCAAAAUUUUGGAGGGAAACUAGAGUUCUAGUACUGCAUGAAAUGGGAUGCGGUUUCUGAUAGAGAGGCUUUCCUUUUAUCUUCUUAACACCUGAAUGAAUUUAUGAUUUCUUGGACAAGACAUGUUGGGCGUGUCCUUUCUUCAUUCAUGUUGCUUUAUUUUUGCUGUAUAACUCUUACAGUUCGUGGAUGAGAAAUGUUGAUAGAGGCAUGUGACUGGUUUUUCUUGAAACCCAAGAUUUUUUUUAUGUAAAUUGUGCUCUCUGAUGCAAAAUGUUAGAUCUAUGAUCGUCUUUUCUAUGUGCUCUGUAUUCUCUACAGCACAUAUUUGAUCGGUGAUUGUCUUUUCUAUGUGCUUUCUAUUCUCUGAUGUAAAAUAUUAGAUCUAUGAUUAUCUUUUUUAUGUGCUUUGUAUUCUUUAUGGUUAGAAAAAGGUAUGGAUGGCUUAUUUGACAGUUUUGCAAGGUUGGAUUCCCGUAUCUCUAGUGUGGGGCAAACUGCUGCAAAAAUUGGUGAUCAUUUGUAGGUAAAGAUGUAAAGUCCUUCUAGAUGUUUUUGAUAUAUCACAGCUUCCCAGAUCAAGUUUUUGAGUGAGCUUGACAUACUGAGAAUCUUGGAUGCUGCCCUUAUGGCUUUAUAUAUGUGGAAUGAGAUUCUAUGAUAUAUAAUUAAUUCUUUCCUUAUCAGAGUGCAGAUUCCCAGAGAGAAACUGCUAGCCAAACCAUAGAUCUAAUUAAGGUAGGACAUCUUUAAAGACUCGAAUGUUGUUAAUUUGGAUUUCUAGAUCAGCUAUUUUUUACUAUCUAUAGUGUGCAGCAUAUAAUUACCAUAAUUCCUGUAGUACUUGAUGGAGUUUAAUGGUAGCCCUGAUGACUUGUUGGAACUUUCGCCUCUAUUCUCUGAUGAUAGUUGUGUCGCUGAGGCUGCUUCAGUUGCACAAAAAUUGAGUAAGCUAUUGGUUUUUUUCCCUUUCAAUGUCUGCAUGUUUCUUUAAUCAGAAUCCAGGCCUUUCCUUUUAUCUGUCCAUGAUGAUCGGUCUUUAUGCAAACCUUUUCGGGACAUUUAUACUAUAAAUGUUUUGAGGUUUUGAAACCUAUCUGGUUUCCUUCCAAUUUAUUUUUUUCCUGCUGCAUGUCUUCCUUUUAGUCAGAAAGUAUUCACAUAUCUGUUUUCGGCUUAGCUUCCCUUUUGGCCUGUUGCUUAUUUGUUUUCCAUUAAUGCGUGGUCAUCUGCAAAGUUUCAAUUGGCAAUAUUCCCUUUCUUAGAUGUAGGGGAAUGAAGUCAGUGGAUACAUAAGUUAUGCAGUCAUAGCCUUGGUAGGAUACUUAUAAGGAGGAAGUUGGAUCUGAUAAAUAGAACAUUACUUGAUUGAUAACACAUUUUCAUUAUUUGUAGCAAGAAAAAUUGUAAAUCUGGAGAAUUUGGAGACUUAUUCAAGAAUAAUUGUAAAUCCCUACAAAUUGACAUACAUAUAGUCAUAUACUAGGAAAAACAACUUAACUAGAAGUUCCUGAUCCACUGGUCUCUUGGGGUGCAAACAUGUCACCUAUCAAUAUUUCUUACAUACCUGCAAAACUUUUCUGGACAAGGGUGCUAGCUCAAGAAACACUAGUCCAGCUACAAGUGCAUAAAUUUUCCAUUCGAUAAGAAAUUUGUUUUGUUCAAGUGAAAGCGUAUUCCCAUCAGUGUUGAAAUCUGCUUUGGUCAGGGUAGUAAUAAAAGUGACUGUAACAUGUCAAUCUGAUCUAUAUCAAUUUAUAUAUCAUCAAGAACUCUACAUCAUUCUCCUUACUGGUUGUCUAUAUUCACAUUGUGUGCUGGCCUCAUUUUAAAUGAUGUCAAUUUAAUUGAUUUAAAAUUUGACCUUAACAGUCUUAGGUGUGAAAGUGAGCAUGGAUGCUGGAGAAAGGAACCCAAAUGAAGAUCUGAUAUAAAUUUGCAAGCAGCAACAAGGGCAUUGUGUGCUGUUUCAAAUUCAUGCCUAGUUAUUAUUUCUUUUCUUUUGUUUUUCUAUAAAUUUUGGUGGGAGGGUUUGGUCGACAAGUUCUUUAUGUCAUUUUGCCCAAUCUGAAAGGAUCAUAAUACUUCUUAGAUUCCAGUUUAAAUGGUAAAGUGGAUCAUAUAGUAGGGAGGCGAUAUAUUUAUUGCGGCAAAGUUAUGAUGAACCUUAAAUAUGGUUGCACGAAUGACAAAUGUGAAAGUUUCUUUAGAUGAUUCAUGCUAUAGGAGUGAUGGGUAAUGGUCUAAAAAGUUAAGAUUAUUGGAUAAUUUUGCAGUGAAUAACCAUUGUCAGAGGGAUAAUGGUUCCCUUGAGGAAUGAAUAACUUGAAACAUAGUGGAUUAUAACUUAUUGCCCUUCUAUAAGAAUAAGUUGUUAUUUAAAAGGCACACAAUACAUGUUUGGGUUUUUGGGUGUGGAGUGUGUUGGAAUUGUUGUUCAUUGAUUAGAUUUGGAGAAAUGGUAGUAUGCUAGAGGAAAUAAUAGAGUUGAUGGCUUCCAAAAUGAUAGUUGAAAAGGUGCAUGCCAACUAAAAUGCGCUACAAGAUUCUUGGAAUUUGGUCCUUGACUACAAUAAAGAUGAGCAAUGCUUAAGCAGUCAUAGUAGUUUUUGACAAAGAUUUUACUAACAUAUAUUGGUUGGUGUGAUACAGUACAAGUGCUCAAUAUGUCAGUAAAUUGACAUAUGGAGGUGUACUAAACCAUACCGAGCCUUAUAACAUACCGCUAUGGUGUCCUUUACUGAAUCUUAAAAGUAUUGAUAUUGGAGAUGGAUAUAAGGGCUCACUCAUGAAAGUUAUCUAUUGGAAUGUCAAUGAUUUGGGUAUUAGAAGGGUGAUGUCUAAAGGGCAUUUAGUCGUUUGCUUGAUUUUGACAUUAUAGAUCAUAACAAAGAACGUUGUGUAGCUAGUGAUGGUGAAAUGUAAAACUUGAUUCACAAUUGUUGAAAUGAACCAAUAUAUUCCAGGGUCAUAACAAUAUUGAUAUCUAUGAACUGACACUGAGAUCGCUAUUAUCACCAUAUAAGAGUGCACAAGUACAAAUUCUGUUAUACAUUCAAGAAGAAAAAUAAUAUAAUGAUAAUAUGCUAUGCUAUAAAAAAAUGGAUAUAGUAUGGCUACCAUAAAUUCUCUCUAGUCCCUUGCUUCAAACUCAAGGUGGAAACAGACCAAGAGUUUGUCAUGGGAAUAACAAGUCAAUGAUAUCACGGGUACCAGACUACUUGAUGAGGAAGGAGGGGUGCUAGAAGGAGAUCAGUGAAUAGUAUAAGGUGUACGAGUUGGUGUAGGGUUUGCAAGAUGACGUGUGGAGAUGCUUAAUAAUACAUGAUGAUGGGGAAAAGGUUAUGAUUUAUGGACAUGUACAAGUUUGGUGAUGUAACAUAAUGCUGUUGAAAUGGGCAUGUAAGCUAAUAUGGUAUUGACUAAAGGUGGGAUAACAUUAACUCUUAGUUACUUAGUUAUACCUAAGAGGAGACAGAUAUAGCAACUCUAUCUGGAGUACAUAAUCUUAACCUAUAAUAAUGAUAAUAAAUUAUAGGAAUUGUGAACCCAACUAUGAAGAUUGCAUUAAAGAGGUUGACGGUACAAACCAUCAUCUAAAGCACAAAUUUAAGAUAUUAGAGGCUCUUCCUGUAGCUAGCAAGCAAGUGGGUCCCAGAAAUGAUGAAGUAGGAUGGUGUAAUGAACUUCAAACAAUGAACGAACUUGCUAGAAAAUUGGUAGAGCAUGGGUAGAAAUUAUGUAGACAUGGGGAUUAGUAGAAAGAUGGAAGGUCUUGUUUUUAAUUUGUAGUAUUUGGGUUAAGUAAGAGGUAUUUGGAGAAUACAACUGAAAAUGUGAUAUUAAGGUGUGCUCAAGUAUUAAUAUGCUAUCUGGUGGCCCCAUAUAAGUCCCAACUUCCAACAACAAAUGAAGAAGAAAAUCCCUAAAAGUCCAUAAGAAGUAAAAACAAGAAUAUGUAGCAUUAUUCACAUGCUAUUGUUUGGACACUAGGGUGUCAUCCAUGGACUAGUGUAGUGACGUUGGGUUAUAGAUCAUGAAUGAUGAAAAGUGAUGAUAAUGUCUAUUAACUAUAAUUCAGGAAACAAGAGGGCAAAAAUUGCAAAAGAGGAAAUGCCGAAAGGUAACUUACAGGCAAAUGGCAUGAAGAAGGAGAUCAAGUCGGGAUACACCAUUUUAUCAUGUGUAUUCUUGUGUUUUGCCUACAUUCUAUGAAUUUGUUUCAUGUGGUUCACUUAAGGAUUUGUUGAAAAUCAUUGCAUGUCCAACUAGGACUCUAUUUUUUUUUUUUUGGUGUCCUAUUUGAAAUAGGACUUUAUCUAAGAGUUUAUAUUGUAGUGGAUUUUGGUUUGUGAGUCAAGAUAGGGGUCGAACUCCCAUCUACGUGGGUGUCUUUUGGUGUAGAACCAUAGAGAACCAGUAUGAGAAGAAAAAGAGAGAAGAGAUUAUUUGUGCAUGUGGAGACUCCUUCAUGGGGCACCUUUAUGAGAUUUUGGUAUUCAUUCAUUUUUAAAUAAAUUAUUUUUCUCUCCUAAUUUUUUUAUUCUUCCAUAAUCAUCUUUUUCUUGUGAUUCUCUGCAAAUAUUUUUUUAUUUGGUGUUUGUUUUGGAUCUUAAGCCGAUACAAUCGAUCUAAUACGUAUAGCAUGCCAUUCUAUAUGAUACCAGAGCCACAGGCCUGGAGAUUAUUGAUUUGUGCAUUAAUAGCUUAGCAUGGUUGAAGAGCUUUUAAUAAUUUGUUGCGUGGCGGUGCAAAUGUUUGGACUUUUGUUUUGUGAUUCAAGAGUUGAAUCAUUAUGGUUGAAGCUACUAAGAUAAAGUAUUGAACAACACCAAUUAUGCGUUCUGGAAGGCCUACAUCAAAUCUUAGUUGGUCGGAGAAGAUUUAUGGGAGGUCAUAAACGGGAUAGAUAUGGUGAAGCUACUAGAAACUUCGAUAAUACAAAAGCAAGAAAAAGAUGAGAGACCAAAGCCACAAAUGCAGUUCUUAUUCUUCUAAUGAAUGUGGAUGAAGAUACUUACCAGCAUAUUCAAGGUAUAAAGGAGCCGAAAAAGGUAUGGGAUAUUCUUGCUGCUCUUCACUCAAAAACUAAUGAGGCUCGGCUUUAAUUUUUGGAAAAUGAGAUUGGUGCUCCCCUAUGAGAUAAUCUUACCAUCUCUUAAUAUUUUCUUAAGGGACAAAAAUUGUUUGAUGAGCUUAGUAUGCUUGAUCCAACUUCUCAUUAUGAUGAAAAUAAAUGGCGUAAACUGUUAAUUCGAGGUUUAGAUAAAGAGUAUAAUGCUUAUAUGCUAGCUAUUUUUGGAUCGGCUCAACAAUCUACAUUAGCAGAGUCGGAAAAUAUACUUGUUAAUCAAGAAGCACUUACUCAAAUGCGUGAUUUGACAAUAUUCCCUUAGGAAGAAGAGACCUUAUUUUCUGUCAGUAAAAAUAAAAAAAGAAGUGAAAUAAUAAUUUAAAAAUUCAAAAAAAAAAGCUAGUGGAGAAUAUGAGGAAAAAAAUCCUAAUCAGAAGAAAAAUUAUAAAUUCAAAGGAAAUUAUUAUAGGCAUGAAAAACUGAGCUACAAAAUUCAUGGAAAACUGAGCUACAAAAUUUAUGAUUGUAGGAUGAAGCUUAAACAGUCUAAUGUUGCAUCCUCUACAUCAGAGCAUAACGGAGAGAAAGAAAGUAGUAGUUGGGCUCCAACAACUACUAUUGUUGAUUCUAAUCUUGAUCGUCAGCGUGCAUGUAUUUUUACUUCUCAUGUACCAGAUAUUGAUUUUGCUCAUGACUGGAUUAUUGAUUCUAGUUGUUUGAAUCAUCUGAUUAGUUAUAGAGAGAUAUUUAAUUCUUUACAUGAUUAUAUUGGUUUUGAUGCUACUGCUACUGUCGAUGAUUCACUUCAUCUUGUUAAAAGUGUUGGUGAUUUAUCUCUCAUAUCAUCUAAUUCUUCUAUUUCCUUGAAUAUUGUUUAUUAUGUGCCGGCAUGAAGAAAAAUUUGAUUUCUAUUUCACAAAUCAUGGAUAAAGGGGAUUCUAUUUUAUUUGGACCUACCUUUGUGAAGAUUUAUGCUAAUGUUAAAGCUUCUGGAGAGCUCAUUACUCAAGGCAAGAAAGUGAACAAAGUUUAUGUUAUGUCUGUUGGUAAUUCUUAUGUUGACCAAACCCUUAAACAUGAUAUUGCUGACUUAUGGCAUGCUAGAUUGGCUCAUGUGAAUUAUGACAAACUUCAAGAUAUACAAAGUAGAGGACUAGUUAAUGGGCUUCCUAAGAUGAAGAUCAACAUUAGUACUAUUUGCAUUUUGGAUGCUAGUAUGGAAAGAUGCAUAAGCUAUCUUUUAAAGAGAGCCAAACAAGAUUUUCUCGACCACUACAGUUGAUACAUUCAGACCUCACAGGAAGGAUCAAUACUCCAUCUUUCACUGGUUUGAGGUAUGCAAUUCCUUUUAUUGAUGAUUUCUCUAGAUAUACCUGGGUUUAUUUUGUUAGAGAAAAAUCAGAGGUAUUUGAGAAAUUUUGACAAUUUAAGAAUUUGGUUGAAAAUCUUUUUGAAUUAAAAAUUGACUGCUUAAGAAUCGAUGGAGAUGGGGAAUAUGUAUCAAAAGAAUUCUCUAAUUAUUUGAUCAGUCGUAGCAUAGAUAGACAAUUUACUUGCCUGAACAAACGUGUGGCAGAGAGGAAGAAUAGGCAUUUAUUUGAGACUAUCCAUAGUAUGAUUCAUGCAAAGAAUGCGAGGCAUGACUUUUGGGCAGAGUGCAUGCAGGGAACAGUUUAUGUUCUUAAUAGGACACCUUUAAGAAAUAUUGAUAACAUGACUCUCUAUGAAAAAUUAUUUGGAAAUUGUUGUGAUAUUUCUCAUCUUUGUGUGUUUGGAUGUGUUUGCUUUGUGCAUCAUUAUGAUGCAUUCUCUAAUAAGCUAGAUGACAAGUCUGUCAGGUGCAUGUUUCUUGGCUAUGAAAAUCUAUAUCUCCAGACACAUUGUUUUUGAUGAAAGUUCUUCUUGGUGGUCUUCUAAUGGAUCCUACUUCCAGGUUGAUGAGUUUAGAUCAGUUUCUGAUGAGAAAAGAGUAUCUUGAAGAGAUGUUAUUCCUAUAAUGGUGAGCCUUCUUCACUUUCUCUAGCUUCUUCUUCUUCAACUAAAUUACCAGAGUCUUCUUUACCAACUUCAGAUGCUAAUAAAAGUUUAUGAAAAAUUGGUGUACAUGCUUCAAAUUCUAUAAAAAAAAGAAUAUAUUCUCAGAAAAGAAGAAGAUACAAAGUUACUUGAAGAUGAACCUGAAGUUUCUAAGGAUCCAUCACCAUUGCAAAGAAGCAAGAGAAAGAAGAAACCAAUUGAUAGGUAUGGUGAUUGGGAUUAUUCCUCUUUUGCUUAUUGUUAUGCUUCUACUGUUCUUGAUUAGCUUGAACCCUCUUCAUAUAAUGAGGCCAAAGGCAUUGGUGUUUGGGUGGAUGCCAUGAAAGAAGAGAUUUCAUCUCUUAAAAAGAAUGAGACUUGGAAUUUGGUUCCUUUACCUAGCAGUGUUUCUCCUAUUUCUCGUGAGUGGGUUUGUAAGAUAUAAGGGAAGAGAGAUGGUUCUAUUAAACGCUACAAAGCUAGGCUUGUAGCAAGAGGAUUUUUACAAAAAUAUGGAGUUGAUUUUGGCGAGACCUUCAAUCUAGUUGCAAAAUUAACUAUUGUCAGAGUGCUUAUUUCUUUAGCAGCUAGCAAGGGAUGGUCUUUCUAACAGGCAGAUGGAUGUCAAGAAUGUCUUCUUAUAUGGUGAUCUUGACAAGAAUAUUUACAUGUUGUAGCCUCCUGGUUUUGUUGACUCCGAUCAUCUUGAAUUUGUUUGCAAACUUAAGAAAGUUUUAUAUGGUCUCGAGCAGGUGCCUAGAGCAUGGUAUAGAAAAAUAGCAAACUAUUUAUUAUUUUGUGGUUGUUCUCUAUCUUCUACAGAUUCUAGUUUAUUUAUGAAACACACUAGCAAAGGUAUGGUAAUUGCUUGCCUAUAUAUUGAUGAUCUGAUUGUCACCGACGAUGAUGUUGAUGAGAUCGGCAGUGUUCAUGGGCAGCUAUCUAUAUGAUUUGAGAUGAAAGAACUUGGUGAAUUGAGAUAUUUUCUUGGCAUUAAAGUAGCUAAAUUUAAGGAUGGCUAUUUUAUUUGUCAAAGAAAAUAUGCCCUUGAUUUAUUAAAUAAGUAUGGAUUGGCUAAUUGCAAGCAUAUACAGACCUCAAUUGAAUCAAAUUUAAAGUUGAGUAAAAAGCAAGGCAAACUUCUUGAUGAUCCUACCAUGUAUAGACAGGUGUGGGCAGUUUGAUUUAUUUGACUAUCACAAGGUCAGAUAUUUCUUAUGCAGUUGGCAUUGUCAGUAGAUAUAUGUAGCAUCCUUGAUGGCCAUAUCUUGAUGCUAUUUUACAGAUCUUAAGGUAUAUUGCUAAGUCAAUUGAUUAUAGUAUAUUAUAUACUAAUAAUUCUUCAGUUAGCUUGGCAGGUUUUACAGAUGCAGACUAUGCUAGUGAUGUAGACACAUGUAGGUCUACCACUGAUUAUUCUUUUAGCUUGGGAUCUGAUAUUAUUUCUUGAUAUAACAAGAGAUAGCCUCUUGUUGCAUUAUCUUCUACAGAAGCAGAGUAUCGUGCGGCCGCGAUGGCAACUUAGGAGUUGACUUGGCUUCUGAGAUUGCUUGAUGGUUUAAGUCAGGACACUAACUAUAUUGUUCCUCUUUAUUAUGAUAAUGAGAAUGCAAUUCGAUUGGCAAGGAAUCCAGUGUUUCAUGCAAGGACAAAGCACAUUGAGGUUCAUCAUCACUUUAUUAGAAAGAAAAUUAUAGAUGAAGAGGUUAAUUUGCUUCUAGUUUCAAUGAAAGACCAGCUAGCAGAUAUCUUUACCAAAGGAUUAGCAGUUGAGUGUUUGAAGACUAGCGCAGCAAGCUUGGCAUUGUCAGUAUAGACUUAGCAAUGAGAAGUGUUGAGAAUCAUUGCGUGUCCAACCAUGACUCUUUAUUUUUUUAAUUUAUUUUUUUUGUGUGCGUCCUAUUUGAAAUAGAACUUUAUCUAAGAGUUUGUAUUGUAGUGGAUUUGGUUUGUAAGUCAAGAUAGGAGUCAAACUCUCAUCUACGUGGUGAUCUAUUUAAAGGGACCUUGGUAUCUCCUUUUGAUGUAGAAUUAUAGAGAAACGGUGUGAGAAGAAAGAGAGAGGAGAGAUUAUUUGUAUGUGUGGAGAUUCCUUCAUGAGGCACCUUUGUAAGAUUUUGAUGUUUAUUCUUCUUUAAAUAAAUUAUUUUCUUUUUCAAUUUUUUUGUUCUUUUAUAAUUAUUUUUUUCUUGCGAUUCUCCACAAAUAUUUUUUCGUUUGGUGUUUGUUUUGGAUCUUGGGCCGGCACAAAUGAUUUACUAUGUGUAGCGUGCUGUUCUACAGGGUUAUAGGCUUAUAGCUUAGAUUCCUUCUUUUUAAGUGCAAAAGCGUGCAUAUUUUAACUAUUAAUAUUAAUUUUCUUUUUCUUUAAGGUCCUUUGCCGAAGAAGAUGUUGGAAAGCACAGUGUUGGUGUGCAAUCAGUAGCAGGUGCUGCAAAUGCAAGCAAAGGUUUAGAAGUUGCAGUUGCAAAUCUUCAAGACUACUGUAAUGGUAUUCCUCACACGAUUACUCUCUCUACUAUUUUCUGAACUCACAUUUAUAGUAAAUUUUAAUAUGUCUAUCUAUUUCAGAAUUGGAGAAUAGGUUGUUGGCUCGCUUUGAUAUAGCGUCGCAAAGGCGAGAUUUAAGACCAAUGGCAGAAUGUGCUAAAAUUUUAUCUCAGGUGCAAAAAUUUUAUGUUUUAUCAAUAUAGUUAAUGGCAUUUCCCAUCUAAAAGAAAGAAUUGCUGGAAAAAGCUAGGAUGAAAGUGAAAAGGAAGAGGAAGAAACAAUAAUAUUGGCUUUUUUACAAAAAUUAUGUUUUUUAAAAUAAAUUAUCAAAAUAAUAUCCUUUUCAAACUAUUUACCAAAAUACUGUCCAAUCGAAAGUCGCUCUAUCAUAGGAUGAUUUUAUGUGCUGACUCAGCAAAAUUGUUGCCAUGUGGAUAGGUGAGUGAUUGACGACUUAGAGUUACCUUAUCUUAGGACGACUGUUAAAGUCGCCCUAUGAUAGGGCACUUCAAUAGGUCGCCCUAUGAUAGGACGACUACAUGAGUCAUCCUACGGUAGUGUGACUCAUUAACGGGCUGUAACAUCACCAUGACCUUCUUUCCUCUUUCCCCCAUUAUUUCUUCGUGCUAGGGUUCCAGCCGCUGUGCAACUCAUCUCCCUCAGCUUCUCUCUCUCUCUCUCUCUCGUGCCGCUUCCAUCUCCUCUCUCUCUCAUUCUCCCUUUUCACCAACAGCCAUCCGCAGGCUCCCUCAGCUCGUCUCCCUCAACUCCUCUCCCUUAGCCGUGGGCUCACAUCGUUGACGAUGCUGUGCAUGACACAGCCCCCAAAGGUAUUUCCUCAUUGACAAUUUUAGUAUUUCCUCGAGUUAUAUGUGUUCUAUGGCCUUGGAAGGGAAGAAUCAAACUUGAAAGUGUUCAUCUUGGAGAGGAAAAGGCACAAGCUUCUCUGUGCUUUAAUUUCAAUUACCUUUUCAUUAUGUUCCAGACAUCACUGCACAAGAUGUCCCAGACAUCUUGAUAUAUAUACUAAUUUGAUUUUGACUCCAAAGACUGAGUUGAUUUUGAUCUAGAUGGAUUCUAAUGUCUUUGGAGUUCAAUUUUCUUGUAAUAGAAAAAAAGGAGGAAUGCAGAGAUUAAUUACAAGAUCAAAAACUCCUACUUCCUCGCUCUUUUUAGCCAUUUUGAACCUAUGGGGAUAUGCUAUUUAAAUGGAGUAUAUCCGUGAAUCCAUAGUGCCUUAAUUUUUUUUUUGUCUCAAAGUCAUUAACUGAUAACAGCCAAAAAGCACAAGUCGCAUGAACUUUUAUUCCACAGCUCCAAGAUAAAAUUAAAAAGGUGCAUCUCUCAAAUGGUUUGCUCAGUGGAUACUAGUCGGAAGAAUUCAGUGUCAAUUUUUAUAUUUUUCUACUCUUGCAUAAUCAAGAAUUCAGGAUAUCCCAGAGAUGGUCGAUAGAGGUUGAUUUUAAGGUCGUCCUACCAUAGGGAUGGUGGUUGAUAAAGGUUGAUUUCAAGAUCACCUUACCAUAGGGUGACCCAUAGAGUCACCCCAUGAUAGGGCGACCCAUAUAGUAGUCCUACCAUAGGAUGAUUUUAAGUUGGCCGCACCUCCCUCCAGUUGGUGUUAAUAUUGCUGAGUCAGCAUAGAAAGUAGCCAUAUGAUAGGGCAACUUUGUCUUGGACAGUAUUUUUGUAAAUAGUUUGAAAAUGGCAUCAUUUUGGUAAUUUGUUUUAAAAAGGACACUAUUUUGGUAAAAAAGCCCAACAUUAUUGUAAUAAUUUUAUAAUUUUAUCAUAAAUAGCAAUAUACAACAAAGAUAUGCAAAAAUAAUAUUUAUUAAUUGCAAGUGUAGUGAUAGACAACCAAGAAAGUUGAUUUAUGGUACUGUACCUAUAAAUACUUGUAAUUUGUAUAUCCUUCUAUACAUUUCAAUUACUGGCAACUGAACAAGCUCUUAGUGACUGAAAUUUUUCAAAAUGGCCCUUAGUUACUGAUUUUUUCAAGCAACCAAAUCGGCACUUAGUAACUGAUUUUUUUUUUUCAAAACAAACAGAAUUAUAGGCUAUUUCUAAGAAAACAGUUCUCAUCCUUGCAACUCAAAUAAAUUUCAGAUAAAUCAUGAUGCUUGAGAAAAUAUCAUUUAUUUGGAGAAAUAUAGUCUUAAAUAUAUGUUUGCAAGUGCAGUUUAACGGAGGGACAAGUGUCAUGCAGCAUUACGUAGCAUCACGGCCAAUGUUUAUUGAUGUAGAAGUUAUGAGCUCAGACACCGAACUGGUUCUUGGUAAUUUGGGUUUGCAAGCUGCCACUAGCAAUAUUGCAAGUGGUCUUUCUUCUCUCUAUGGAGAAAUCAUAGGUUUUUCCAUAUCUUUACCACUGAUGUUGAAGAUAUCUGAUACUCUAUGUUGUAUUUGAUAUAUUUGGGUUUCCUAUUUCCUGUAGAGACUAUGCGAAAAGAGGCAGUUACUAUAACAGCUGUUUUUCCAUCUCCUAAUGAUGUUAUGUCCAUCCUUGUUCAGGUAUGCUGCAAACUUUUUUCUGUGUUUAUCUUAGAAUUUUGUAAUACAACCAAUAUAAAGCUGCUAUUUUAUUGCUUUGCAUACAGCGUGUUUUUGGAGAAGAGGGUAACAGGCCUUCUUGACAGGCUAUUGACAAAACCAUCACUUGUGGAUUUACCGCCUGUUGAACAAGGCGGCCUUCUCCAAGUGAGUUUAAUCAUAUAGAGGAUGCUUGAUGCUGCAUUCAAUGCUUUGGUGGGUUUUGUGAGAUGUUAAUUUCUGCUUCCAUUUGAUUUGAGGUCUCAGUAUCUCAGAAUUCUUGCUGUGGCAUAUGAAAAGACACAAGAACUUGCUAAGGAAUUAGGAUAUGUGGGCUGCGGUGACUUAGAUGUUGAGGGUAAUAUUACUGUUCAGUUCUACAUUCUUGGUCCUUCAUAUUUGAUAUUGCCAGCUUGCAUCGUCUUUGUGCAUAGAUUAUCCCUGAUGGCAUCACGAAUCCCACUUGUGCAGGAAUUUCUAUAUUUAAGUUAUCCCUAUUAGUAUACCUGUCCUUCAUUUUCUUCUCUAAGUGAUGGGCAGAUACAUAAUCUGAUACCUACACUUAUCAUAGUACUUGUGAGGUAGGAUUUCAGGGAGCAUUUUGAAAAUGUUAUUUUACAUCAUUUGUGGGUGCCCAUGGUACUUCUUAGAUUUGAUAUGAAGAGUGCUUUUUCCUCUGUUUUUUUGUGCGACUAAAGAAUAUGAAUGUUUUAUUAUAAUUAUUUUUGUAUGUGAAAGAAUGCCCCAGGCUCUUGUGAACUGGUAAGUGGUUUGGUAAUAUUGUUGAUGCAUUCUUGUGAGUUGUGCAUAUCGCUCCAGUAGUGAUGCUAUGAGUGGCAAUAGGUUUGGGAUGGUUGGGUUUGGACUGGAUCGAUGUCAAAGUAUCGAUCCAGUCCAAAGCCCAAAUUGUUCUAAGUUCUAACCUUAUGCAACUAGCAAUGGGUCAGAUUUUCUUAGCCCAAACCAGCUAGCAUGUAAAAUAGACUGACUUGAACCUGACCUGGUUAAGGGAAGAAGAAAGGGGAAAGGAGAUGGUUAGAAUGUGUUAAGGACUAAUAUACAUUGUUGAUCCAUUCCUAACAUCUUAAGCUUUUAGGGUCUAUUGGUUAGUUAAUAGGGUAACAAAGCUCGAAUUAUUAGUUCAAUCCCCUCGAAGUCCAUUUUUCUUUAAUUCACCCAUUAGUCAUCUUGAAUUGUUUCUUAACUCAUUCUUGACUCAUUUAUGUGGUCUAGGCUACAUGUGAGAGGGGUGUUAAGGCCUGAUAUACAUUGUUAACCCAUUCUUUAACGGCUUAAGCUUUUGAGGUCUAGUGGGUAGUUAAUAGGGUGAUGGUUCAACCAGAUUUGCAGUGGCAAGCAGUAGAUGGCAACAAGAGGGGCAUACGUGACAGUAAUAGAGGAUGGAUGGUGGUAGGAGGUUGGAUCUAGUAAUGAUAGGGAUGGAUGGUGGAGAAGCCAAUCAUAACUUCAAUGAACUGUAAAAGAGUAACUAGAUUCUAUGGCAGCAGGGGAUAAAUGGGACGGGGCAGUUGGAUUUUUCAGUGACUUGGGAUGGGUGCUGAAGGAUUGGCCAAAUCAGAUGAGGGCAUUUGAAGGACGACAACAUGGAUCCGGAAUCUGGUAAUGGCAGCCAAAUCUGGUGUUGACAUGCAAAUAAUGGUGCCAGAGCGGCCCAACUGAGCAGUGACAAGGAGCCAAGCAAAGGAGUGGAGGAGGAGGAAGAAUGGAGAUAGAGAAUGAGAAGAUAGAAGAAGAGGGAAGAGAAAGGAGAUGAGGGAGAAAAAGAUAAGGGAACAGAGUAGAGAAGGAGAGUCAUAACAAUGGAGAUUAGAGAGAAGGGAGAAGACUAGGGUUCCGUUAAGAUUUUUUUUAGUGCAAUGAAGGUGUUAUUUAUUAAAUGCAAUAAUUAUUUAAAGAUAUAUUGACUCAACAAGAAGAUUAGCCCAGCCCACUGCAAGCAGGUUGGUUGAAUCUUGUGGGCUGCCUUUAUGCAUUCGUGUUAGAAUUGCCUGCCCUGGUUGAUGCUAUCAUACACAUCAAUGUUUAGAAUCGAGAAUCUGAUUAUAUCUUAUUGGUAAUAUAAGGAUAAGGCAGCAUUUUCUUCAAAGUUCAAAUAAUGUGGAAACAAUAAACUGAAGUCCUGCUCAUAUCUCUGCUCUGGAAGGGAGGUUUCUAGCAUUUUUAUUUGAAAAAACCGUCUUAGCUUGAUUAUUUCCAGAGUUUUUUCAGUAUAGUAAUGUUUACCUUUUUCCAUUUAUUAAUUUGCUACAUAAACCAUGAUACAGGAUGUGUAAACCUUAUCUCCUCUUGGAUCACUAAACUAAUUACAUGUUUGAAGACUCCAUACUGAUGAAAAUUUUAUCUUUUGGUCAAUCUAAAUUAUCUAAUAAUGAGCUACUUUCUUUUUUUUUUUUCCCACUUCAGGCCUUGCAGAGUCCCUAUUUAGUUCCCACAAAGAUGAAUAUCCUGACUCCUGAGCAUGAGCAGGCCUCCCUUAGGCAGCUUUAUCAAUCAAAGGUUAUAUGCUUCUCUGAAUGAUUCAUAGUUCAUUAAUUUUUCUUUCUAUUUGAAAUAUGACAUGGCUAACAUCAAUUGCUUAGAAAUAUGAGAUGGCCAACAUCAAUUUCUUAGUUUUUUUAUCAUGGUAUUUUUUUCCUUCACAAUUAUCUCUCGUCUUCUGCAGAUAGAAGAGUUGCGUUUUGAGAUCCAACAACAAUCUGACUCUGCUACAACAACUUCACGUUCAAAAGCUGCACCUACUCCAUCACCUCAACAACAGAUAUCAGUUUCUGUAGUGACGGAGUUUGUGCACUGGAAUGAGGAGGCAUUAUCUAGAUGCAUUUUAUUUUCUUCCCAGGUUAGGUUGUUUGUCAACAAUUAUUUCUUAAUCUUAUUGUUGGACUUGACAUGGAUGUUUUCUUUGAAAGCACCUGUGCUAAUGAUUGUGCACCAAUAAAUAAAGAACUGCAAUCCUCUUGCACCACUUCUCCUGUUCUAUUUCACAUUCUUAGAACAAUAAUUUAUCUACCUGGAGGUGCUGAAACAUAGGUGAGGAGCUAUAUUGGUAUCAGAUUUUGUGGCAGUUCCCUAAUGCUCAUGAUUGUCUUCUUUGAGAAAAAUCACACAUGAUACUAAUUUUGUAAAGGCUAAGUUCUAAGGUAACAAGGUUUGAGUUUUAAACUUAGAUUCCUUUUUUUUUUAAUAAAAAUAUUUUACAAUUGAGAAGAGAAAAAAUAGAUGACUGAUUACAAUUUUCAUCAUCCUUCAAAGGCAAUUGAUGAAUUAUAUUCACAUUAGAGAAUUUUGUGAAGUUCCAAGGACCAUAAAGUUACAGACAAGUUAGUCAAUCAGAGAAACAGUGCAAUCUCAUGAUCAAUCCUGUUGAACUAGAAUGGCAACCCUGGUGUUUGAUCUUAUGAAGGAGAAGAUCAUGGUUUAGAUUUCAGAGUAUAUCUAGUUUGGGCAGGUAUUCUCAGAGAAAAGUGAAAAGCAAUUAGUGCAUGGUCAAAGAUGGUCAAGCUAGUUUGCCAUAUGUAUGUUCUACAUGUCACAAUCCAUGAACAGAAGACAUGUGGCAAACUAUGAGUUUGAAUAACCAAAAAAUAUAAUAAAAAAGGCAUAGAAGAAUGGGAAUUCACAAUAUGUGAAUCAUUGACAUGAUCAUGAUGGAAAAGUCCACAUUUAGAAGCUUGAACCAGAAAUGACUUUUUCUCCAUGUUUGCAGAAACAAAAAAGAAAAAACAGAAGAUAAAGUUCUCUGUGAAAUUACAAAAAAGAAAAUUUUGACAAAUCCAAAUAAUUUGAUUGAAAAAGAGAAAAUCCUAAGCAUUUGAUACUUAUACAUGGUCAGAAACAUGACCAUUAGGAGAUUCUUAAGUAGACAGGUUAAACAUUGUUUUGAGGAUCCACAAACUGCACUAUCUUAAAUCAAAACUCUAAAAUCUGGUUUGAUGCAUCCAAAGUACUCUAUGAAAUUUGAACAUUACUAUUCAUGUAUCUAGCACAUUAGAAAGCUUUGUACAUCCUUUUAUAUAUUAUCCAAUUUGAUGCAGUCCAAUGAACCUGUGACAGA
rnacentral:lncRNA from 1 species